UCCCCCGGCGUCCCCCUCCCCGGAGCCGCCCGCGGUUGUGUGGGGAAAAAGCGGGGCUGCGAGGAGCCACCGGAGGCCGCCGGGACCCUCCAGACGCCCUCGGGGACGCAGGUGAGGGCGGGAGGCGGCCGGUCCAUUCGCCUCAGGGCGGCGAGGUGCUGCGAAGGUCUCGCCGCGGGCUGCGCCACACAACGGGGUGGUGAGGAGGCGGGAAUCCGGGGUGCCGCGGCACCGCUGAAGGUGAGCCCUGGAAUCAAAGGCGGGGGGGUGGGAGGAGAUUAAAUUAGUGAUAAUUUGUGUGGAAAUGGAAAUUAAAUAACUUGACUGUAGUGCUGUAUCUCGGGCUUGUGGUUUUGGAAACGCGGGGUGUCGCGCUGGGACAGGUGCAACUGAUACCGGAGGAAGCAAGAUGGCGCCCAGAGCUGAGAGAGGAGCUGCGGGCUGGCUGUACCUGGCUGCUCAGCGUUGGGGCAGAGGGGUGUGCGGUGGCAGGGGCAGUUACCGCAGCGAAGCAGGGUGGGCUGCUCCACGUUACAAAUUUGUAGGUUCUUGAAGAAGAAUUGGCAGUAGCGCUGUUACUGGGCAGGGUUGGAUUAAAAGUCACAAAAAAAAAAAGGCUGGCAGGUGGUACCAGUUUCAUUCUCCUUGUUCUUGGUUUUUGCAGUACUUAAAAGGAAUGAUGGCUAAACGUCUACCUAACAAUACAAAGGGCAAAAAGAAAUGGUAGCAAUAGCAGAGCCUGGGUGAAAAUACCAGUGUUGGUUCAACAAAUCAGAUGGUUCUCUCCUCUGCCUCCCCAGAUUGUGGAGGAUCAGACUGUGGUAUUGGGGCCAUCACCAAAAGAAAUGCACCCUGAGGUGGUCAUGGGUUGGUAUGGGCAGAUCUUUGCUUAUAAAGAAACAUGAUUAAUGUGUAAAUAUUGAUAUUGGCUGUACUUUCCCAACUGUGCUUAAAGCAUGUAGCUUAACUUCUGUUUUAAAGCAGAAAAGUAUUGGAAACCUCUGUGUUUUUCAAACUUUGAAAAUUAGCCUUUUCCCAAUGGUAGUUGUACUGGUUUUGGCUGGGAUAGAGUUAGUUUUCCUCGUAGUAGCUGUGUGCGGUGCUGUGUUUUGGAUUUGUGAUGUAAAUAGUGUUGAUAGCACAGGCAUGUUUUAGGUAUUGCUGAGCAGUGCCUGCACAGAAUCAAGCCUUUCCUGUUUCUCGUGCUGCCCCACCAGCAAGUGGGCUUGGGGUGUGCAAGAAGCUGUGAGGGGGCACAGCUGGGGCAGCUGACCCCAACUGACCAAAGGGAUAUCCCACACCAACCAUAUGGCCAUGUUGCUCAGCAAUAAAAGCUGGGGGAGACAUUCAGAGUGGUGGCAUUUAUCUUCCCAAGUCCUAUGUGUGAUGGAGCCCUACUUUCCUGGAGAUGGCCGAACACCUGCUUGCUGAUGGGAGGUAGAGAAUGAAUGCUUUUGCUUUGCUUGUGUGUGUGGCUUUUGCUUUAACAAUGAAACUGUCUUUAUCUCAAACCACAAGUUUUCUCGGUUUUACCCUUCUGAUUCUCUUCCCCAUCCCACAGUGGUGGGAGGGAGUGAGCAAGUGAGUGAGCAGCUGUGUGGGGUUUAGCUGUGUACCAGGUUUAAACCAUGACAUUGGGUUAUUAAGCAACCUAUGAGGUAAUGCUUAGUAAGGUUUUUAACUUUUUUUCAUAUGGCUAGCCAGAGACCAUGUUUCUCUUCCCAGUUCAUAGUGCACUUAAUGAAGUCUGUUUCUGUCUGUGUGUUAGUGUUUCUGGCAUCUCCUGGAACUCUGGGUUAUGGAAUAGAACAGAAUUCAGGGAUGGCAAUUAAUUUUUCCUGACCUUUGUGUUAUCUCCAGUUUGCCUAAAUGAUGUAGUUGUUAUGAUACAGCUGUUGAAAAUAAUUUGCAGACUACAGUAGAGCUAAGAGCAACACUAUCUGUGUAAUUCCUGGGGAACAAGACCUCCUCAGAUUUGCUCUAUCUUGGUGUCAAAAUUUAUGUUUCUUUCUAACACUUGUGUUCUGUUGACUUGUUAGUCUUGACUAAGUGUGUUACUUUAGAAACAGGAUAUGCAGGAAAAAAAAAAAGAAGCUUGUGUGAAUAUAUUCUAUAGAUACAGAGUUUAAGGUAUGUGCAUGUAAAUAGGAUGCUCCAUGAAGACUGCAUUUUGUGAGGUUGUGUAGGUUGACUAAAAGUGCUACUUUUACCUUUUUAUUUUCAGCAAAUUAGCUUUGCCUAAUGGAGAACAAAUGUAUUCUUUGACAUGGAAGUCAAGAACAAUACUGCAUUAUAGUGUUACUUUUUUAAAAGUUCAGCAGAUAAAAAUGUUCUAUUUAUUAUGUUGCAGAGGUGAUGUAAAGAAGCAGAAAAGGUAUUAAUAACUGUUCUCCAGUUGUGUCAUGAGUAUUUGGAAAUGCUGAGACAGGUUGAAGGCAUGUGGGCACUGGUUUUCUGAAGGGGAUGCUUGGCAGCCUACACAGACCCCAUAUGGGCAUCUAGGCUUACCAAGACUGAGUGGGUUCCUUCCCCUGGCAGUGCUGACAUUCAGUGUGGUCUUGGCUUCAGUGAGGGCUAAGUGCGAACCUGAGGCUUUGUUUUCAUGCAUGCUGGUACCUAAUCACUGGGCCAGUCACAUGGGUUGGACUUUGCAGGGUUUCUGCCCACCUUACAUAAUGUGUAUUUAACUGCGUCCUAUAAAAUGAAACUUUGAUUCAGGGAACUGAGAGCGCCUUUUAUUUUUGGUCAACUUGCUUAAAACCUGAUUAGAGAAGUCACGUAAGGAAGGGGUACAAAUUCCAGGCCCUGCAAAAAUGAAAGUUAAUUUUACAGUAACAAACUCCCAGCUGUAUUCCAUCACUGCUGGGCUGUUUAAUUAAAAGGAGAUACUGGUGUCAUGUCCUCCUCAGGCAGGAGAGAAAGAGAGACCAUGCGUGUGUGUGUGUGCAUGCACUGGUUAGUGAAAAUGAGUUUUUUAGAUCAUUCCCUUUGCAAUAGAAGUGCUCAGAGCAAGUCAGAGUUAAAAGAUUACUUCUUUUUUUUUUGCUGAUGAAAAUACUGUGGAUUUGCUAGAGGGGAGAAAAGAAAACCAAAAUGAAAAAACAAAACCCUUAAGCUUUUGAAAACUUGUUUAUACAAACUUUUAGAUACAUUGCUUGUCAUGCUGUCUUAAAUUUCUAAGACCUCUUUGAGCUAUGAUGGAAUUUAGAGUGAAAGUCAAAGAUUUUAAGAGGUCAUACCAGUUAUCAGUGUUGUACCUACUAGAUGCCUUUUCCAGGCACAUGCUGAUGCUAAACAGAGUGCAGCGCAGAGUCUGUUUCUGUGCAUGGGGGAAUUACAUAGCACAGACUGGAGCUGUGUAGCUUAGAAAACACUGUGAUGGUGUCAGCUGCUUCCCUAAAAAACUCAUUUGUCCAAAGUGCUGCUUCGGCAGCUCACCAAAAGGCCACCUUUUUUUUUUAUUUUGAUCCUUUUUUUCAGGCAUUGUGCAGGUGGGGGCAAAAACUAUGCAAACAAAUAGGUGAGACAAACAUACAAAGGAAUGAAUUAAUUUGUAGCUGCCACACCUGCACCAGCAAGGUUGUAACAUCUCCUAGGCUAAGGGGGAGGUUGUCACCACUCCUGAGAAGGUUCCCAGGCCACUGUUGUGGCCAGCAGAGAGCAGGCAUUGGGCAGGAAAGGGUAGUUCUGAGGUUCCUGCUGCCCCAAGCUGUCAUCUUCCUUUGUAUACUAUCCCCCAGGUAAGUUAUGUAUUAAAUACUUGCAAUAGUCUUCCAGCAUUUAUUGUUAACUGAGAACUAAUGCAGUCAUGUUUAGCACAAGACCUGGAUCCAGCAUUUCGACUUCCUGAGUGCUCCACAGCAGGGCCUUGUUUUGUCCUUCUCUCUUGAUUAAUUUUGAAUUAUUUUCUGCACAAUCAUUUCUAGAAAUCAGGUGUGCAAAAUGUAUUGGAUCCCAUACAGGGCAACAGAGCUGGUGAAGGGCUGGAAGGAGCAGCUGAGCAUUCUGGGUUUGUCUAGUUGGAGAGGAGGCUGCAUCCUAGACCUGCAUUUUAUGCCUUUGCUCCAAGUUCAUGGGCAUACAGGCUGGGAUACAUCUAGAGCAGUCUGUUUCAUGUCUUCUGUCCCGCCUCCAGCUUCAACUGAAACAGAUAAAAUCUUUCACUUUUGUGAAGGGUUCUAUGGAAGUUAAUGGCACCACAGAGAAAUGAUGGCCUCUCGGAUAUUUGCACCCAAAAGAACAAGACACUUCUUGUUGCUCGUUUCUAAAGCAGAACACUCUUCAAAACUGCAUCAGGAGAACAAGGACCACCUCUAUCCCAGCACAGCUCCACAGCUUCCCCAAAGCAAUGCCAAACUCCUCCUCCCAUUAAAUCCAGUACUGUUUCCACUUCUGUACCAUCCAACCAUUAUAAUUAAUUCACAAAUCACUGCUCCAGGACAAGUGCAUUCUGCAUUCAUACCCUAACAAUGUCUGCCUGCUACCACCACUAUGCCAUAGGAUGCACCUGUGCCUAUCUCCUGCUACUACUGUGCUCUACAUACAGAUAACAUGGUAUAAAUGCCACAUUGCUAAAACUGAGGGUGAGAUUAGGGUGAGAUACUUUAUUGUUUUAAAGAAAAACCAGCGCAGAGAAGUACCAGAGACAGAGCAAGCUUAAUUGAAUCUGUGCAGUCAAAUUAUUCAAGGUCUUCUCAUCAAGAUAAGUAUCAAGAAAGCCUCCCUUAACUACAACAGUAGAAGCAAUAUUUUCCUCAUAGUAAUUUGGAUUCGCAUGCUUAGUGUUACACUUAGAUUUGCAUGCUCAAUUACUCAGCAUGCACAGCAGCAUGGUGCGCCAUGGGAUGAGAUGGGAAUGUUGUUAGAGAGCCUGGAACUCUGACUCUCGACUGCUUGUAAUGGACCUUUCAUUAGAAAUUUAAGAACCUGCAGUUCUCCAGCACUGAGUUCUGCUCUUUGAGGUCUGUAAUGUUCCGAACUAUUUGUAGGAUAGCUAUAUAUUUAAGCCAGCUGCAGAAUGCAUAUAUAUCCAGUGCUUUCAACUACAGUAUACUAUUUGCUGUUAUGGUUUACUGUAGGCACUCACCCUCUGGAGAUAAUGAUUAUUAGAUAAACGCACUAUAUUAACAGCUAAGCUAGGCAGAAAACCUGUGUCUUGACUUCCAGUUCUCAGAAGGUUUGUUACAUAAGUAUUUAAAAAAAAAAAAACGUACUUAUGCUACAACAGAACCCAGUGGUGACUCAAGAUACUUAAGUGAUACUUGUAGUUCAAAUUAAACAAUAAGAAACUUCCAUAUUGCAAUAUGUAAUCACUAGAUUGUGUAGUUUACUUAACAGUUGCGUUAUGUGGCAAAACUUGGAUUUCUUUUUUUCUUUACCAUGAUAUCACUUAAACUGAAAAUAAAUUUAAUGGAAAUUCCUUCCACAACCCCCAAGAAAUCCAAACUGCUUAAAUCUCUGUCCUGCAGCCCUUGCUUGUUUGCCUCAGCAGUAACAACUAGAAGGGAUUCAGUAAUCCAGCAUUAUUAUUGCAUGGACUGCAGAAAAGAUACAGACCGAGUCUUGCCUGAACUUCAGAGUGUAACAUACAGAAACUUUCCCUUUUACAUAUAAAUCUGCACUGAUGAAGUCUGAAUAACUCUAGCUCUAUUAGGCCAACUCUCCAGCUUACAGAGUACAAA